rnacentral:rRNA from 1 species
CACGUAGGGCGCAAGCGUUGUCCGGAAUUAUUGGGCGUAAAGGGCUCGUAGGCGGCCAACUAAGUCAGACGUGAAAUCCCUCGGCUUAACCGGGGAACUGCGUCUGAUACUGGAUGGCUUGAGUUUGGGAGGGGGAUGCGGAAUUCCAGGUGUAGCGGUGAAAUGCGUAGAUAUCUGGAGGAACACCGGUGGCGAAGGCGGCAUCCUGGACCGACACUGACGCUGAGGAGCGAAAGCCAGGGGAGCAAACGGG